AGUCCUGUAGCUCAAUGGUUAGAGAACUCGCUUUGAAAGCGAGAGGCCUUGGUUCGAUUCCUGGCAGGACAA